rnacentral:rRNA from 1 species
GUGAACGCUGGCGGUAGGCCUACCACAUGCCAGUCGAACGGCAGCACAGUAAGAGCUUGCUCUUACGGGUGGCGAGUGGCGGACGGGUGAGGAAUACAUCGGAAUCUACUUUUUCGUGGGGGAUAACGUAGGGAAACUUACGCUAAUACCGCAUACGACCUACGGGUGAAAGCAGAGGAUCUUCGGACCUUGCGCGAUUGAAUGAGCCGAUGUCGGAUUAGCUAGUUGGCGGGGUAAAGGCCCACCAAGGCGACGAUCCGUAGCUGGUCUGAGAGGAUGAUCAGCCACACUGGAACUGAGACACGGUCCAGACUCCUACGGGAGGCAGCAGUGGGGAAUAUUGGACAAUGGGCGCAAGCCUGAUCCAGCCAUACCGCGUGGGUGAAGAAGGCCUUCGGGUUGUAAAGCCCUUUUGUUGGGAAAGAAAAGCAGCAGGUUAAUACCCCGCUGUUCUGACGGUACCCAAAGAAUAAGCACCGGCUAACUUCGUG